UACGUAGGGUGCAAGCGUUGUCCGGAAUUAUUGGGCGUAAAGAGCUCGUAGGCGGUUCGUCGCGUCGGCUGUGAAAACCCGGAGCUCAACUCCGGGCCUGCAGUCGAUACGGGCGGACUAGAGUGUUGCAGGGGAGACUGGAAUUCCUGGUGUAGCGGUGAAAUGCGCAGAUAUCAGGAGGAACACCGGUGGCGAAGGCGGGUCUCUGGGCAACUACUGACGCUGAGGAGCGAAAGCGUGGGGAGCGAACAGG
rnacentral:rRNA from 1 species